UACGGGGGGAGCAAGCGUUGUUCGGAUUUACUGGGCGUAAAGGGUGCGUAGGCGGCCACCGCAAGCUGGUUGUGAAAUCUCCGGGCUUAACCCGGAAAGGUCAAUCGAUACUGCGGGGCUAGAGUGCAGAAGGGGCAACUGGAAUUCUCGGUGUAGCGGUGAAAUGCGUAGAUAUCGAGAGGAACACCUGCGGCGAAGGCGGGUUGCUGGGCUGACACUGACGCUGACAGCGCGAAAGCUAGGGGAGCGAACGGG
rnacentral:rRNA from 1 species